UCCCGUGUGGAUCAUCAUUGGAGAGUUUCUACUUUGAAGUCUUGUGGAGAUCUCAAGAUUAUCAGAUCAUUAUCUUCAUAUUGGUAUAUGACUUCUAAUCUCUGCUUGUUAUGCAUGCUUAUGUUAUUUGAUUACAAUCAUCAAGGUGUUUCUAAGACUUUUGUGUUCCGGUAGUCUAGUUUAAUUGUUAAACUUAUUUUCAAUUGUUGAAUAUAUAUAAAAAUUUUUAAAAUUUAUAUUUCACUACAUCAUCAAAAUCCAAUAGGCCAAUCACAUGGGUAAUGUGAAUGAACUUUUCUGUGAUUUUUUUUUGCUCAUUUGCAUGACAUUAGUUAUUU
rnacentral:lncRNA from 1 species